CUGCCACAGCCCCAACCUUACGACCGACUCCUGUGACCCCUACUUCAUGCUCAACAAUGUGACCGAGAUCCCUGGCAUCCCCGGGGCAGCUGCUGGUGUGCUCCAGGAAAACCUGUGGAGCGCCUACCUGGAGAAGGGUGACAUCGUGGAGAAGCAUGGGCUGCCCUCCGCAGAUGCCCCGAGCCUGAAGGAGAGCCUGCCUCUGUACGUGGUCGCUGACAUCGCCACAUCCUUCACCGUGCUGGUCGGCAUCUUCUUCCCUUCUGUAACAGGUGAGCCCUGCCUGCCUACCCACCCAGCCCUGUCCCCAAUCCCGGGGAGCCCCUGAGGGAGUCUCAUCUGUUUUUGGAGGCAUCAUGGCUGGCUCAAACCGCUCUGGGGACCUUCGUGACGCCCAGAAGUCUAUCCCUGUGGGGACCAUUCUGGCCAUCAUUACAACUUCCCUCGUGUACUUCAGCAGUGUGGUUCUCUUUGGUGCCUGCAUUGAGGGUGUGGUUCUCCGGGACAAGUAUGGCGAUGGUGUCAGCAGGAACUUGGUGGUGGGCACACUGGCCUGGCCUUCACCCUGGGUCAUCGUCAUCGGCUCCUUCUUUUCAACGUGUGGCGCUGGCCUCCAGAGCCUCACAGGGGCAC
rnacentral:lncRNA from 1 species